AGCACAUUUUUCCUUUGAACUGAUGAAAAGAUCCUUGGGCGAUUUUGAAGGCUGUGCCGAACGUUUGCGAGGAGUGAAGUAAUUCACAGGGGGGUUUUGCUUGGCUUGUACAAACACACACCAUGGACUCCAGGAAAACAGACACAGAAUCGGUUUCCUUGACUUCUUGGGUCUAGGAGGAGCUUUUGCUCCUGUGGCAUGAUUUCUGGAAGCCCUGACCAAGUUACUUCUUCCCUGAGAACGCAUCUGACACGUCUGUACUAAGCUGCUGGUUUACCUACAGCUUUUUACCAAACCAAAGGAAGCCAGACCCUGCCAUCUUGAUCCAGGAGGGCCAGCCUCAGAGGGACAAAGGAGACUCCACGUCCUGCUUCCUAGGAAGGAAGUCACAGUGCUGGGGAUGAAACCCACAGACUCCUGCCAUACUAGCAAGUGCUCUACCACUGAACUGUGCCCUCGGCCCAGUCCUGUCUUUUAAAAUAUCCAAAGACGAACUGAAAACUGAAAUGAAUGAAGAGGAGGCAAGGAGCCGGACUGCUUCUGAGCCCAUUCCAGAAAAAACAGUUGGCAUCAAUGACAGUGAUGUUUACUAGAAAACUAACCUGCUUCCAACAGACAGUAGACAAUGGCUAUCCAAUAAUGUAAACCUUUGUGUCAAAGGAAGAAGGAAAAGCGCACACAGGGCGGGUGUGACCGACUCUGCCUGACCCAGCCGGGACUCUCCUGGACUCUGCAGCCAUCCAGGGAAUGAAUGCUCUGCCGUCCUGAGGGUGAUAGGUCAAAGGCUUCCGUGGGCCUCAGACAUAUGUGCUGUGGGACUUAAGGUCAAGGAGCCAGAAUGAUAUGCUGGGGGAAGGCUGAACUAGACUUUGCCAGUCCUGCAUAGAAGCCCUACCCUACCUUGGGCCAACACUGUCCUGAGAGCCUCAGUGUGACUUUCACUGUGACUCCCUGUGACUCUAACUGCCUGACUUUGAUGACAGUCUCAUUAAGGGUUCCUGGGGUUCGCCACAACUUGAAACCCACCUUCUGCAGCCGUGUUCCUCCUCCAGACUCUUUUGCCCAAAUUUUGUGAUGGCAACUGAAAGAAAAUGCUCCUGCCUGCUGACUGGGUCCUGAUCUUUCCUAGCCUGCAAGGAUCUGGCUGGCUCCUCUGGAAGCAGGAGCUGGAGUGGAGGAAAGAGUAGGAAAUGUCAUCUGGUCUUCAUUUGCUAUCCUUCCUGAGGAAACUUCCUUGGAAAAACUAAAUGGAGAGGAAAACAGGAGAGGAGCCACCAGGUAGCAUCCAGGAAGAGAGAAAAUGCAAUAAACAGCAGGAUCUUUAUUCAUAUUCAUAGGAGGCUCAUGCCCAAAUAUAUAGCAUUUUCUGUGCAUGUAAAUGUCAUUUCGCACUCUUGUGUGUCUCAAAUAUAAGUGUGCAGAUAAACCAUCCCAGUGCAAGUCCAAUAUAUUUACACAUGUAUAAUGGAUUCAAUCAUCAGAGUCCAUAAACAUUCUUUCCAUAGUUAUUAGUAUUGACCUUCACAUAGAUGUCCAUCAAAGGGAUCCCAGCUAUUAGAAUCAUGCCAAACAGAGAGAGGUCCCUGUGUAUGUGUUGAUUAAAUGGAUCCGUAAACAUAUCAUUGAUCUAAAAUGCACUUUCUUGUUUUACAUUUUUAACAUCUGAAAUGGAGAUGAGAGUUGCAAUUGAUGUUUAAUUGUUUUCCUUUUCCCUCUCUUUGUGAUACCUUAUUGUAAAUGGCAUCUUAGAUCCAAUAAGACACAGUAAAGGAAAAUAGUGAGGGGAGUGUGGCUUGGGCAGGUUAUUUAUUCCAAGCUUUCUUUCUUUUUCUUUUUUCUUUUUUUCCCAGGAAUAAGAUGGAGGUAGCAUCCAUGUCAGGGUCCUUGAGAGGAUUAAUCAGAAUGAUUAUUUAUAGCACCCUUGUUAUGAAACAUGACAAUGCUCCAAGCACCUUACGUAUCAUUAUCAUGGUUACUAGCAUCUGUGCUUAAGAACAGAGAAAUAGCACAUCAAACAAAUUCGCCUUUCAUUAGUACUCAUACUCUGCCCCAAAUCAAGCUUUGAGGAAGAAAAAAAAGCUGCUGUUGUUGGUGAAUGGAGAGUUUUUUUUUUUAGUUGAAAAACUUGAAAAAAAUUAAUUCUGAGGGGUUGGGGUACAGCUCAGUAGUGGCAUGCGCUUGGCAUGCGUGAGGUGCUGUAAAGAAUAACAUACUGGGACUACCACAGCUAAAUACUACAGAGCAAAUCCCUUCACAUACAUUUACUUCUAUUUUAUGUGCUGUGGACCUUUGCCUCUCUAUUUGCUGUAGUUUGUCUUUUCUUAUAGCUUCAGUUCCAAACUAAAUAGCACUAAUCCGAAUGCAUACCUCCUUGGGUGCCAGCGUUUAGCCCUGUGUCUGCGCCUGCCAUGUAUGUACAUACUGGCGCGUCUCUCCGUGGGUGUGUAUAGUCUGUUCUCACAGUGACUUGGGGGUGUGUAAAUGCAUGUGGGGGUGUGAGAUCUCACUAGCAGCCACCAUCAGUGCCACUCACUGGUCCUGUUCUCUAAACCGGUUCUUUGGAGGUUUGGCUUUUGGUAAUUAAUACUGAAUGGCUAAAACACAGAGGUACGUUUUCCUGGAAACCAGCAGUCUAUAUCUGCGACUUUUAUUGGCAGACCUGGCUCCCAGUAAAUGCAUUCCUUGGCAUCUCCCAGAAUGUAACUCACUUGAUGAAGCGGCUUUGCUUUUUCUGUAACGUGUACAUCAAUUAAAGGGGGCCGCCUAGAAGGAAUGUGUAGUUGGUGGCUGAGCGUCCCAAUUCCAAGUCCCUCUCCAGAGACAAAACACAUCUCUCUGGUCUGUGCCUGGGAGUCUGAGAUAGUCUCUACGAUGGAAGUAGCCUCCUCACUGGGUUCCAGAGGCUGUGAGAGUUGCAGUGUGUGAAAACAAGGAGCCUGGCCCCAGCGGCAUGUUUUUUUUCCCCCCAAGACCCUCUUCUCUGAGGAAGCUAGGCCUGAAUCGGGGGAUGAAGUCAGCUGCAGAGGCUCGGUGGAGAUGAGACCACCGACUGCAGGGGGCGCUCGGAGCACGCGCAGUGUCCAACUGCCAGCCUCUGAGCGGCCGGCUGUGCUUGGCUUCCGAGGCUCGGGACUAGCCCAGGGAUCUACAUCCCCUAGCCGGGGAUCCCCAGCCCCGGACGGUCCCACGGCCUAGGAUCUUGCACAUUUUCCUUUCUUUUUUGCCUUCCCUUGCUGGGAAGAGAUAGAAAGCCUACAAAGGGAGGAUGGGGCUCCGCACCACUAUUUCCAGAUCCAGACAGCCCCCAAUGGCGACGCCCUCCAGGCGCUCGCGGGAGGCCUUUUGCAGAAACUCAGGUGCUGGCAUUGUCCCAGCACUGAGAGGUGCCAACGCACGGCUCCGGCCCAGGGCUCCCUACCGCUCUCCACAGGUGCGGGGUCCGAGGCGGUCUGCUCUUUGAGCACACAGGCCCAGCCACACAGUGGUACGCGCCCUUAUAGGACUAGGGACUUCGGGAGGAAUGUCCCAGAGUUCGGGCGGGCAGAGCACGCGGAGGGGCCGAGGGUCCCGAAGCUCGGGCUCUGGGAAGGAAGGUUCGGGGCAGCUCUGGUGCCCGGGUCCGCCGCAGCGCGGGGCUGGUGGCCGGGCAAGAGCUCUCCUUCUACAAAGGUGCAGCUGACUUCAGCCUGCAUGGGGUUCCGGAGUCUUUUGUGGGUCUGUUCGGCUGAUCAAAGCCUUUCCUCCAACACCCUUUGCCAAGGCGCAACUGUGCAGGAGCGCGCGCUUUCCGCUCCAGCCGGGGAAGGCGCCUUCGCCACGCCAUUCUCCGACGGCCGGCUCCCGCCCGCACCCCGCAGGCUCUGAAGCCGGGGACCCGCCAGCACUUCACACAGAGUUUGGAAGGUGGAGGGGCCUCUCUUGCCCUUUCCAGGCCCUCAAGUGCGGCAGCCGCUUAAGUUCUGUUGGGGACCUGAAUGGGGAGAAACCGAGGCGCGGGCAGACCCACUUACAAACAACUCGUUUCUGAUCAUCCUCCCCUUUACAAGUUUUAUUCUAAUUUCAGAUUAUGAAAGGUGCCAGUUUGACUCUCCAGCUACCUCUGCCUAGACAAAGAAUGCCCUGAGCCUUUUGUGGCCAGGCAUCAAAGUUAAAGAUUCACUUGCCAGAAGCCUGGUGACCCCAGUUUACUGCUCAGCUAGACUCAGAGCCCCGAAAACGCUUUUCACCGAGACUGAAGUUUUCCUACAAAGGGGUGACAAAAGGAACUGAUUCCUAGGAGUAAUAAUAUCUCUCUCUCUCUCUUUCUCUCUCCCUCCCCCCUUCCUUCUCUCUCUCAAUAAGGGGGUGGGGACAGUUUGGGAAGAUGACAUUAAAUUAUCCUAUCAUACGAACCUCCCCUACUGGGCCGCGGCGUCUAAGACAGCCACUAUCCGAUUAAUUCAAUCAUGUAGAUAGGUAACACAGAUCACUUUACCUUGGAAACAAUCGAAAAACAAACUCUUUUCAUUUAUA